GGGCACUUGGCACAGUGGUAGCGCGCUUGCUUCGCAUUUCGAGCAUUGCAUGAGGUCGAGAGUUCAAUCCUCUCAGUGUCCA
rfam:Exidia glandulosa HHB12029 unplaced genomic scaffold EXIGLscaffold_1, whole genome shotgun sequence.